CAAUAGCGUAUAUUAAAGUUGUUGCAGUUAAAAAGCUCGUAGUUGGAUUUCUGGAUGGAGCGACCGGUCGGGCAUUAAUUUGUCUGCACUGGAGUCGGUUCCGUCCAUCCUCUUGGAAAGUGCGUCGGGCAUUAAGUUGUUUGGCGUAUGAUCCAAGUCGUUUACUGUGAAAAAAUUAGAGUGCUUAAAGCAGGCCUUCGCCUUGAAUACAUUAGCAUGGAAUAAUAAGAUAGGACUUUGGUCUAUUUUGUUGGUCUGCAGACCGAAGUAAUGAUUAAUAGGGAUAGUUGGGGGUAUUUAUAUUCCGAUGUCAGAGGUGAAAUUCUUAGAUUUUCGGAAGAUAAACUUAUGCGAAAGCAUUUACCAAGGAUGUUUUCAUUAA
rnacentral:rRNA from 1 species